rnacentral:misc_RNA from 1 species
GUUGGUGAACCAGCGGAAGGAUCAUUACAGAGUUCAUGCCCUCACGGGUAGAUCUCCCACCCUUGAAUAACAUACAAUGUUGCUUUGGCGGACGCUUCGGCGGCCGCCAGAGAACCCUAAACUCUUGUUUACAGUGUCGUCUGAGUACUAUACAAUAGUUAAAACUUUCAACAACGGAUCUCUUGGUUCUGGCAUCGAUGAAGAACGCAGCAUCUGACUGACUUCAGGUUG